rnacentral:lncRNA from 12 species
GGACUAAUGGGAGGAAAUUACAUGGAGAGAUUUCAUCUCAGCUUGAGGAAACACGUCUACCAGUCAGAGCUGGCCAACCAUGGCCUGCCCAGGCUGCCAACAGAGGCAGUGAGCUCCCUGUCACCAGAGGUGUGCGAGCAGAGUUCCCUUCCUUCCCAAGGGAGGGAAGCUGUAGAGGAGGGUUUUUACCCAUGAGGCCCCUUGGAGGCCGUGGGCAGUUCCUUCUGCUUCCAUGCCGCUCUCCUCCCCACAUGGCUUGGUGGAGUCCACUGCAGGCAUGGGAGCUACGGCCGCCUCGGAGUACAUUCUUACAUGGCAUAUCUAUCCAUGUUCUGUGAGGGCCUUGGAGAUGCUGGGGAAGGCGGGACUCCUGGAAGAACUGAUGCUCCCACAUGGGGCUACUCCUGGUUCCUGCAGCCUGUGUAAGGAAACCCCAGAGCUCUUGGUUAAGGCUAUAGACAUUGCCUUGGAUUGCCACAGCCCUUCCCGGCCUGGCCGGGAACCCAGCAGCAGCCUCAGGAGGCCCGGUCACCAUGUGCUCUGCCCUGGACAAGGCAGCUGUGGGGCUUGGGGCGGCUCCAUCCCACUCUGUCCUCUGGCCUUAGUGUGUGGGGACAGAGGUAUCGUGGGGGGUGGCGGCACAGAGGCAGCUGUCCUGUUUUAUGUCUUUUCGGUCCCACCACUCUGGACACAGAGAUUGGACUGAGAGAAGCUCUAUCAUUGUUCUAGUAUCUGAGCCUGUGGGGAGCUGAUGAGAAAAGAGGAAAAGCGGGCUAGGUAUAUGUUAGGUGCUCCCUCCCUUUGCCCAGGGAGGCAUGUUGGAGGUCGAGUCCCACAGCAGAUGGGACUUGUACCCUGGCACCUCUGCUGGGAGACUCCAAGAGCUCCUCCUGGAAAUGCUUCACACCUGCUGGGGUGAGGUGGUGCCCAGCCCUGUUGACUUUGCUUUAAAUUGAGCAGCAGGGCAGCUGCAACUUCCACUGCCCCCCCACUCCCCACCCCACCCUACCGCAUGGCCCUGCUGGCCCCGUGGUCUGGGAUCACACGGCCCUGAUCUCUGGGCCACCUCGGUGGGCUUGGAGCUUCGGAUUAUAGGAAAGUAACAGUUACUUUCAGAUGCAGCAAGGGCUUCCAGCUAGGGGGCAUUAAAAGGUUUCCCACCAGAACAGGGAAUGACCAGCAGGAGAGGGGCUGCUGUGGCCACUUUCUAUCUGUCCCUGGAGGGUUGAAGUCUGGCAGCCGUCUCUCCCUCAGGGGCAACUCCAGUCCCCUCCAGGCAGAGGGAAGAAGCCCUUAGCCCUACUCUACCUAGAACUCUGUGGACACAGGUCUCUGCCCUGCACAGAGGCCUAUUCUCCUCUGCCCACCCCAAAGCUCUGAGCCUGAUGUGGGGGGCAUUAAUGGGAAUUCUGGAAUGAAGGCACAUCCAGGAGACCUGGUCAGGCCCUCUGGGCAAUUACAGGCCUGUAGGGCUUUGAUCCACGUGGGAUUCUCAGCUCUGCCUUGCAUAGGGCCAGCCUGGCCCAGCCUGGAGCCCCUUGGCCUGGCCUGUCUCCCCACGGACACACGGUGCACACAUGCAGGGCUACUGUGGCACAGUUCUGUGGGUCCUGCUCACAAGGACACACAUGGCCAUGCUCAGGACACACACACAUGCAUAUACGUGCCAGUCUUGUCACUGUGUACACCUUCCUCACUCUACCUUAGUAUUUCAGAUAUGUGGAAGCCCAGCCUGAUUAUAAAUAGGCAGUGAUCUUACCCACUGCAAAAGGGAAUGGCUUCUCCUAGGGCAUUUAAAAAAAAAAAAGAUUUUAUUCAUUUAUUUGUGAGAGACACAGAGAGAAAGGCAGAGACACAGACAGAGGGAGAAGCAAGCUCCCUGUGGGGAGCCCAGUGUGGGAACUCGAUCCCAUGACCCUGGGAUCAUGACCUGAGCCAAAGGCAGAUGCUCAACCACUGAGCCACCGAGGUGCCCCCAGAACCUUAGUCGGUUCCAUUCACAUCUAACUUCACAGGACCAUAUCCAGCUCUGUUGAGUGAGGUGCACCUGUGCACCAAUGACUCAUACAUGUCCUCAGGUUUGCCAGGGGUGGCGGCAGCUGCCAUUCCCAAACACAGCAGAUCACUAGUAGAUUUAUGACUCAGGGUUGAGAAUCCAUAAAUCACCUUUAUCCCCUGGAAAGAUGAUUGGGUGUGAGCUUGAAAGAGGCCUUUGCUCCAGAUGGUUUUGGCAAGCCCCAGUCAAAUCUGUGAACCAGCCGACAGGGAAAUUCCAUUAGAUCUGCUGGGUUUUGAGAAGAGGCAGAGGUUGCAACCAGGAAACAAGAUUUGAAUAAAAAUCUCUGGUAACCUAAAGCCCUGUAGUGA